AGAGAGGGUCAUAGGUUAGCUGGCAUCAGAGAGAAGAGGGUCAUAGAUCAGCUGGCAUGAGAGAGGAGAGGUUCAUAGGUCAGCUGAUAUCACAAAGGAGAGGGUCAUAGGUCAGCUGGCAUCAGAGAGGAGAGGUUCAUAGGUCAGCUGAUAUCACAAAGGAGUUGGUCAUAGGUCAGCUGGCAUCAGAGAGGGGAGGGUCAUAGGUUAGAUGGCAUCAGAGAGAAGCGGGUCAUAGGUCAGCAGGCAUCAGAGAGGAGAGGUUCAUAGGUCAGCUGGCAUCAGAGAGGGUCAUAGGUCAGCUGGCAUCAGAGAGGAGUUGGUCAUAGGUCAGCUGGCAUCAGAGAGGAGAUGUUCAUAGGUCAGUUGGCAUCAGAGAGAAGAUGGUCAUAGGUCAGCUGGCAUCAGAGAGGAGAGGUUCAUAGGUCAGCUGAUAUCACAAAGGAGAGGGUCAUAGGUCAGCUGGCAUCAGAGAGGAGAGGUUCAUAUGUCAGCUGGCAUCAGAGAGGAGAGUUUCAUAGGUCAGCUGAUAUCACAGAGGAGAGGUUCAUAGGUCAGCUGGCAUCAGAGAGGAGAGGUUAAUAUGUCAGCUGGCAUCAGAGAGGAGAGGGUCAUAGGUCAGCUGGCAUCAGAGAGGAGAGGGUCAUAGGUCAGCUGGCAUCAGAUAGGUGAGGGUCAUAGGUCAGCUGGCAUCAGAGAGGAGAGGGUCAUAGGUCAGCUGGCAUCAGAGAGGAGAGGGUCAUAGGUCAGCUGAUAUCAAAGAGGAGAGGGUCAUAGGUCAGCUGGCAUCAGAGAGGAGAUGUUCAUAUGUUAGCUGGCAUCAGUGAGGAUAGAGUCAUAGGUCAGCUGGCAUCAGAUAGGUGAGGGUCAUAGGACAGCUGGCAUCAGAGAGGAGAGGGUCAUAGGUUAGCUGGCAUCAGAUAGGUAAGUGUCAUAGGACAGCUGGCAUUGGAGAGGACAGGGUCAUAGGUCAGCUGGCAUCGGAGAGGAGAG
ensembl:lncRNA